rnacentral:lncRNA from 1 species
GGACUAAAACGAACCAAUUACUGACAUGAGGUAUUUUAAAAUACCUCCCUGCCGAAAUUUUGACAGGAAAAGACCAAAAUGCCCCUAGGGACUAAACUGACUCAAACUAACUCAGAUGCAAUUUUUGAAAUGAUUUUUUAAACAAAGACUCAACAGUGAUUUGUACAGACAAGCUAAAAAGACUCAGAGGCAAACACAGGGACUAAAAUAGGUUCCACUGCAGGAAAUGAACAAAAUACCCUUUUGUAUGAUUUUUUGAAAUAAAACGCAAGAAAAGUAAUGCGAUGUUUCUGAGAGUUCUUAAAUGACUUGUAAUGCAAGAAAAGACAGACAGAGGCAGUAAAAUAUGCUUGAAAAGAGAGUAAGGGUUCAGAGUAAAACAACAGCGAAUUGACAAGUAUCAGUGUUAAAAAAGGAAAUUUAAAUGAGUAUUUUUAGGUCCAAAAUCAGGGUAUAACAAUCAUCAUAUAUUACAAUUACAAUUUCAUAUCAACGUCUUUCACAAUAUAUAAAUAUUUUCACAUUUAAUCAUCAAAGUAAAUCAUCAAUAUUAAUCAUCUUAACAUCUUCUCUUGGCUUCUCACUUCUCUUGAUUUUCUCCCUUUUUCUCCAAAAACAAGUUUCACGUAAUCCCUGUUUUUUUUUUUUAAUUCUAACUCUCCCCUUUUAUAUAAAUCCUUAACCUACUUAUUUUCUCUUAUUUCCAAAUCUGCCCUCAAAGUCUCAAUAUUCUAUUUUAAUAUAUAUAUAUAUAUAUAUAUAUAAUAUAAAAUAUUUCUAUAACGAAUGACAAAUAUAUCUCUAUAACAUAUAUAUUUCUACACCAAAAAUGAAAUAUAUUUCCACAACAAAUAACAUAAUAUUUAUAAACCAAAUAACAUAUAUUUCUACAACAAAUAACAUAUUAUUUCUACACCAAAUGACAUAUAUUUCUACAACAAAUAACAUAUUAUUUCUACACCAAAUAACAUAUAUUUCUACAACAAAUAACAUAAUAUUUUACUAAUAAAUAUCAACAUAUAACAUAACAAAAUAUCACUCAUCUAAUUUCCAAAACAACCUCCACAACUUAAUCUUAUUUUAUUUUCAAAUCCUAUUCUAUUAAAUAAUAAAAUAAGCCACUUAAUAAAUCAACAACACAUCACAAUAAUCAUAUAAAUCACAUAAGUCAUAAAAAUAGACUCUAAACUCAAUAAAAUAUUCAAAUAAUAAAAUUGGGCGUUACAACUUGAGACCUGCAGAUCUCAAUAAACCUGGAACGUCAGAGAAUCGAUAACAAAACCACCGACACACUGGUUUCAAGAUGCGCUUGAAUCCAGAUUGUGGGAUGAGUCCAACACAUUGUAACCAAACAUCUCUUUCGGGUUAAUAAAACCAGACCCUUUCAGCUUUAUGAAACCGAACUGAGGCCACAUUUGUUACCACCCAAUCUCAGAUCAGAAAUACACACAUAAAUAAACACAAACAUACAAAACAAACAGAACCUAACAAAAGACACGAACACAUGCGUAAGAGCAAAGAACCGAACUCCACAUCCAGUAACCGGAGAGCAGAAACUCCGCAACCAGCAACUGAGAAAAAAAACAGCUCCACCACCUAGCAAAAAGGACCCCCAUCAUCCGAAGUAGAUGAGGCACACCCAAAACCUUAAAAUACCCACAAAUCGAGCUCAGUCUAGUGAAGAUCUACAAAUCAAGGAACGUCACCACCAACCAAACUGGAACCUCCCAAACAGUUGCAACAACGGCAGAAACAGGGCAAACUUGCGUCCAAACUAGAUAUGACGACGACCAAAGAGCAAACACGAACGAAAGUUGAGGGUCGCCGGUGGUGUGGAGAACCAACGAUCUCGUCCACCACCAAAGAAAGAUAAUACAUCGGGCCUUGUUGUUUGGAUGCGAAGGGGAAGAAAGGAGGAAGUUUGUGGUGGUGUUUAUUAAGAAGGAAAAGAGAGGUUGAUGGGUAGUGAGAGACGAGCUCUAAACCUGUUAUUUUAAUUAACUCCACUCAGAUCUCGGGGCACUGUUUUUAAUUAAUUUGAAGUACCUUUUGAAUUAGAAGAAUGUGUGAAACUCUUGUGUGAUUAAAUUUUAUUUGUGAUUUAAAUUAGAAAAAUACUAGUUAUGUUAGGGUGUUACAUGUAAUGCUUAUUAAAACAUAAAUUUGUGUGUAUACAUUAUAGUUUAUAUUUAUGGUCUAUCUCCGUUAAAAAAAAAAUAUGGUCUACCUAAACUUUUUUUUUCUAGCUCCGCUACCACGCGCAACAACGCAUUUUCAAGGUAUUGUCUACUUUAAGUAUUGUGUAAGUCCACAAAAUUUUGUCCUUUGUAUAAGUUGUUUCAAUGGAUUGAGAAAUAUAAGUGUUAUUAAUAAAAGGGUUAAAUAUGUUUUUGGUCCCUAUAAAUAUAUCAACUUUUCGUUUUAGUCUCUCUAAAAAAUUUCUUCGUUAUUUAGUCUCCCAGAAGUUUUUUAUCUUCGCUUUUGGUCCCUCCUUUCAAGUAAACUCAUAUGUAGAAUUCAUAUUUUUAAAUGAAAUUUUGAAAAAAUGAUUAGAAUAUCAUAAAAAUCCCUCAAAAAAAAUUAGAAUUUUUUAACAAAACAUGAAUUAAAUAUGAAAUUCAUAUUUAAUUCAUGUUUUAUUGAAAAAUUCUAAUUCUUUUGAGAGAUUUUUAUAAUAUUCUACAUCGAUGCACAAUUUCAUUAAAAAAAAUACAAAGUUUACACAUGAGUUGACUUAAAAAUGGGGACUAAAAGUUGUGCUUGAAAAAUUUAUUGGCACUAAAAGUCGAUAGAAAAUUUUAGAGAGACUAAAAUGAAAAGUUGAUAUAUUUAUAGGGAGCAAAAACAUACUUAACCCUUAAUAUAAUAUCAUACCUGCUUAAAAAGAAAUAUCAUACACAUCAAUUCCCAUACAACAUGAUCCUUGGUGCUAGUGGUAAGAUAUUUGACUUCUUAAACAUGUCAAUUAAACGGUGGUAAAAACUUUAUAUCCAUAGCAUGAUAACCUUAAAACAACGAGAGAUUUAUAUUAUACAUCAACGAUACUUUUUUUUAGAGAGAUCAAGGAAACUAAAUUUCCAUAUUUAAAUUUUUAAUAUACAUGAACAACCUUUAUUUACCAUAUUUGAAUGUUUAUUAGUACAAUUUCCUAAUAUUAGGUCAAGCACCAAGUGAAUGUUUCUUCAUAUCUACGUUACAAAGUGACUCUUAGUUUAAGUGAAAGAGUAGGAGUCAAGAGUGAUCACGGGCCCCACCUAAACCCCAAAGUGAGCUCCUCAACGAACCAAACGGCCAAAGCAUAUACCAAUAAUUUUAAACUUUAGCCAAAUUCAACCCUUCCACCAAAUUUAAUAUACAUAUAUGGAAUCUAUAAUAUAAAUAUCCAACAUGAGCUGUUAAAGUGCUUAUGCAAACAGUACUUAUAUAUCGAAACAAAUGUAUAAAGAACUUUGUAUUUAUUGAACUUUAGGUAUUUCAAAAAUGCAAGUUGCAAAUUAAACGGUGUCGUGUCGUAUACGUCCCAAUAACUAUAUGACACCGACCACUAUCACACAUAGACAAAUUAGCUUCAUAAGCAUGGUCGAUUAUUUCAAUGUUGUGAGUCCAAAUUCCAUAUCAUUCAUAGAUAGCAUAGAAAAAAGUAUUUUUUUUCUUUCUCAAAAUUGUACUAUUUUAUUAUCUAAAUAAAUAUCAUGCAACUUUUUCGAUA